rnacentral:lncRNA from 1 species
UUGACUUGUUCUUAAACCUUCAUUGCUGCAUAUAAACACAUUAACAUCAGUUAUAAGCACAAAAUAGGCAUUGAGAAUACUAAUUUAUUGAAUAAUGAACCCUAAUGGAGUCAAAAUUCCUGACUCAUCAAGUAUAAGCCCAAUGACAAUCAUAAACCAAUGAACUCAACUCUUAUGGCUCAACUCUAUAGCAUGAUUUCAGCAAGAAAAAGGGUAACUUUCCAGAAAAUGUAUGUAGCUUCUUGAUUAUAAAAUGUAGUGCACAACAAACUUAUAAACAAAAGUCUAUGAGACAUGGCUUGUAGACUCCCUAGGAUACGAUGUUGAUAUGAUAAAAAGUUUUUCACGCCCCAAACUCAAGGGACACAACUAGCACCUAAUGCAAAACAUUAGGCAUGAUCUGGUCGUGUUGAACCACUUGCUAAUGGCGCAUGGCAGCCAUACACACUUAAGAAAACAAAAGAAGUAUGUAUCGGCUUAAAACUAAGCCUUCGGCUGACAAGGCCUCUAUCAAUAGGUCUACAAAGAAAAUAGAUACUCCCAAUAGUUUAUAUAAAUCAAUAACCAUGUGGCACACAAGCCUAUUUGGGCCUUCAUAGCCACCAUGGUAUCUAGGAAAGCAUAAACAAAGCUAUGUGGGCCAUCAAAGCAACAAUGAUCAAUAUACAAAAUCUAAAAAUAACUAUGCAUUAAGACAAUACAUGUACCAAACAAUAAUCAAACUUCAGCCAACCAACAAACAAGGCCAAGAACGUGGCUAUUCUACCCAAAACACUAAUCUGCAAGCCGCAAAGAGUAGUAAAGCUUGGUUGGGACGGGGUCCCCGACCUACCAAAAACUAUAUAAAAUAAAAGCCAACAAACCUCCUAACUCUGGCAUCUCUGGAAGAAAGGGGCUGACAAACUUGAGAGAAGUCAAUUGUACUGUUGAAGAGGUCUAUCGAGUCGUUUAUCGGGACCUGCAGGCAUGAAUGCAGCGCUCCAGGCAAUGGGGUGUUAGUAGGAAAUAAGGUGCUAAGUAAGAAAGGCAAUAGACUAAAUGAGAAGGUAUCAUAAUAUACUGAAUGUAAUAUGGUAAGGAAAUCAAGAAUAAAAUAAGUGUACUAUUGUAACACCUUGGAAUCUAGUAGGCUAAUCUAAGGCUAAGAGUGAGGGCAAGGGUCCAAGGGAAAGGUUCCAAACCUAGGAUUUAGCCUUGACAGCCUUUAUGAAAGUCCUCAUGAGCGAUGAAGGGCACCACGAAUCGUGGUGGUUCCCAUAGACCUAGGCAGUAGCAAACUAAAGGUUGCUCACCUCCCACGAAAGCCAAAAUGGCUCGUGGUGGUCACCACAGAUUGUGGUGCCAGUCGUGGUGGUUAGGCACUAGCCUCUCCAAGGCUUCCCAAAUGGAGACCCUCCCCACGAGCCACUUGACAGCUCGUGAAGGCCACUACGUGUUGUGGGAGAGGUCGUGGUCUUAAGUUAGGUUGAUUGGGUUAAGUGGUGGCAAUCUAGGCUACUGGUCAAGGGCCCGGGCUUACAAUGGCCCGUGAAGCCCCACAUGGAACAUGAAGACAUCUGUGAAGGGUUUUCAUUAGACUUAAAAAUUAGGGUCAACUUCAAAUGAUCAUAUAUUUUAGCACAAAAUGAAUUAGGUGGCCCAUGACCUAUCAAAUUAAAGGUCUUUGAGUCCUCUUUCCAACGCCACCAAGCUUGCCCAAUUCUCACUUCGAAGUGAAAAAUUAUGCCCAAAAUAGUAAAGCACUGUCAGGUUGAAAUUCUUCACAACCCGUUUGACGGGCCGUGGUGGUCAUGAUUACCCGUGGUAAGCUUCCAGUGAGCCAAUUCGGUAGUUUUUAAGUCAUGGGUUUGUGGGUCUUUUCCGAAUUGUUUUAACUCAAAGCUAUGUCAUUUUUCCCAAGUCUAGGACCACUAUAUAAGUAAUUUUAACCCCAAAACUUACCCAUUCAAUCAUUAUUUUGAAAACCCAAAAUAAAUCCCCAAAAGUUCUUCCUCUCAAAUAUUUCUCUCUCUAGAAACUUGAAGAAGAAGGAGGAGGAGAUUCAAGCUAGGGUUCAAGAAGCAAGCUUAUGUACAUCAAUUUUUUGGGCUUUGAUAGUAAGGUAUGGUAGCUUUCAUCCAUGGGGUUCACUCAAAAUCUCCAAUUUCAAAAAGGUAAAAUUCCCAAUAGUUAGGGUUUUCUUCAAAAUCCAUGGGUUCCUUUCAAACUUGAUUUUAAUGAUUGAAUUGUGUUAUAUUAAGCAUGAAUUGAUGAACUCUUAUGGUUUUUAUGAUGUUCCCCCAUGAACCCAUGUAAUUCCCAUAUUUCUCAAUUGUGAUCUUAUGAUGUGGGUCUUUGUUGUUGAAAGAUGAAUUCUAUGAAUUAAUGCAUGAGCUGAUAGAAUCACAUGAAAUUAAGAUUAAAUUCCUAUCUAAUGUUUGAAUUCUAUAUGUGGUGAUUGAAAGUAGGUUUUGAACCUUGAAAGAGCAAAGAAUGAGACUAUGCAUAUUUUUUAUGAAAUCUAUGUAAAUGCUUUAUGGACACUUUGAGAGUAAAGUGUCAAUGAUUAUGAUAUUGUUGUUGUGUUGAUUGAAAGGACAUUCUUAUAAACACAUAUGAACAUUAAUGUGAAAGGUUUUCUCACAUAGUAAGGAUUAUAAGGUUGAAAGGUUUUCUCACCUAAUUGAAUCUAAGAGUAAAAGUGAUCAUGGAUGGUGAAAGGUUUUCUCACGCAUGGUCUAAGGAGCUAUCCUAAUGAACUAACUUGGAUUGGUUGUCAAGGACAUCCUUCCAUGAGAUAUGAGUUAAGUCAAGACUUUAUAAGUAUUCCGUGGGAUUUAUGUUUAGCACCUAGUGUAUAUUAAAUAUGAGAUGGAGGCUCACACGAAGUUGAGUCUGGGCUUCCAAAAUGGAAACUCUCAUGUAGUUGAGUCCGAGUUUCCAAUGUAAGUCUCAUGAGAUGGAAUCCUUCACGAAGUUGAGUCCGGGUUUCUAGUAGCAAUCUCUGUAUCCCAUAAACUACAUGCCCCCAUAGGAUAUUUAGCUAGUGGAUUCACCUAAGCUAAAAGUUACUGAUUCUACCUUAGGUAAGUAGACCAACCGUUUUCGGUGUGGGAGUCACCGGGUGAUCAUAUGAUAGCUCACACGGUCUCAAUAUCAGUUAAGGCUUAUUUCCCAACACAAGAUUAAUAAUGAACUAAGACAUGCUUAAAGAAGUAUCUCGUAUUGUUCAAGGGUUUUAAAGAUUAUACUAGUUUGCAUUGGAUAUGAUGUUAUGACUUAUGUUUUCCAACUAUCUCUCAUAUGAUGUUUUAACUUGUUAAAAUGCAUGUUAUGAAAUAAAAUGUCCCUUUUAUCAUGUUUUAAAUAUUUUCAUGCAUAGUUAUCUUACUUAGUGCAUUUUUGUACUAACAUAUACUCUUGCCUACAUUUUUCCCAAAUGUAGUGUCCGACAGUUAGGGUCUUCAGUUUCGUGGCUAAGUGUUGAUCUAGAGAUUUUCCGAACUUGGUGAGUCCUCAUGCUUUUAGAAUGAAGUUUUAUUAUUUUAGUUCCUUUUCUUUGUAUUUCCUUUUUUGGGACAUGAUGUAUGGGCUAGGCCCAAUUUCAUUCGAUUGUAAUAUAUGGCUAUGAUGAGAUAAAGUGUCUAGACUAGCGCUUUUCUAUAAAACUAUUUUGGAUUUGAAAUGUUGUUUUACUCUAAAUUGUUCUAUAUCUUAUGUUAUGAGGACUAAGUGGCUUGUAUGGAGUCCUUCGGGGUUCUAUACUCCAUGUUAUAUCUAGGGGGUACCCCUGGGUCGUGACAUACUUGGUAAUCAGAGCACAAGGUUUAGAAUGGUCCUAGGAUGAUGUCUCACAAGCUACGUCUAGUAGAGUCUUGUUCAUGAGUGUGAAGCGCGCCACAUUUAUGAAUGAGAGAGGCUACUAUAUGAUUAGGAAACUCCACUUCUUUCAUUACUCUAAGUCGUGCCAUAGAGUUCAACUCUAUAAGAUCUCUCUCAUAAUCCUUACCAGUGUUCUACAAGACAUGAAUACUCAAGGAAAUUUCGCUGGUGGAAUUGAGGGAGAUAAUGUUGACCAAGGAGUUUCUCUUCAAGCUCCUCAAGUUCUGGUUGACCCUUGGACCAAUCAAGUGACUAAUGCGGAAUUUAGGUUUGCUUUUCAAAUGUUGACUCAAGUCGGGAUAAAAACUCAAAAAUUUCAUGGGUCAAAGAUGGAGGAAGAUCCCCAAGAGUUUAUAAAUGAGGUCUCUAGGGUGUUGGACUUUGUGGGAGUGACUCCGGUAGAGAGGGUGAAAUUGGUUGCGUAUCAACUUAAGGGGGUUUCUCAGAUUUGGUUCAACCAAUUAAUAGAAGCGAGGCCGAUAGAAGCGGGUCCUAUGGAGUGGGAAAGGUUUAAAAAUUAUUUUCCUGAUAGGUUCUGCCCUCUGGAGAUGAGAGAGGCAAUGGUACUUGAGUUUAUUAACUUUCGACAAGGUAAUAUGAGUGUUAAGGAAUAUGAUUGGAGGUUCACUCGGUUGUCGAGAUAUGCUCCAUCUAUAGUGGCCGACCCUAGGUCGAGAAUGAGUAAGUUUGUGUCGAGUAUGUCUUACUUAGUAGAGAAAGAAUGUUGUACGGCUAUGCUUAACCAUGAAAUGGAUAUUUCUCGUCUUAUGGUCUAUGCCCAACAGAUUGAAGAGGAGAAACUUAAAGGGAGAUCUAGGGAGAAUAAGAUGUCUAGAAUUGAUGAUGAUAAUUCCUCUCAAGAAAGGUCUGAUGGACAAAGUCGACCUAGAUUUCGACAAAGGUUUUUCGGUCAAGGUUCCUCCAAUGCUCCUAGGUAUAACAAAGAUAGGGUGUCUAACCCUAAGCCUCAAGAAGGUAAUUAUAGUGGAUCAUCAUUGCCUAGGCCUACUUGUGCUAAGUGUGGGAAGAAGCACAAGGGUAAGUGCCUAGCCGGCACAGACGGUUGUUUUGGUUGUGGUAAGAGUGGUCACAAAAUAAGGGAUUGCCCAAUACUUAUGGCUAGAGGAAAAGAGGGCAAGCAAACUCCUCCUAAUGGUUUGGGUUCCCAUACUCCCAAACAAAACCGCUACUGUGCUCUUCUUACCCGAGGUGAGCAAGAGAGUUCUCUGAACGUGGUUACCAGUAUGUUAAAAGUUUUACAAAUAGAUGUAUAUGUUUUAUUAGAUCUCGGUGCUACCUUGUCUUUUGUGACUCCAUAUGUGGCUAUGAGGUUUGAUGUUCUUUCGGAUGUUUUGUUAGAACCUUUUUCUGUCUUUAUUCUUGUAAGUGAUUCUGUGAUGGCUAAGAGGGUUUAUAGAAAGAGCCCCAUUUCCUUAUCCCAUAGAGUUACUCUUAUUGACUUGGUAGAGCUGGAUAUGUUAGAUUUUGAUGUUAUUCUUGGUAUGGAUUGGCUGCACUCUUGUUAUGCUUCUAUUGAUUGUAGAACUCGUGUAAUCAAGUUUCAAUUCCCAAAUAAGUCUAUCCUAGAAUGGAAGGAGGAAGUUCUAUGCGUAGAGGUUAGUUGUUCCUUAUAUGAAAGUUAGGAGGAUGAUGGCUAAAUGUUGCUUUUACCAUCUAGUUAGGGUGAGGGAAAUAUAUUUUUGUUUGACCAAUUUCAAGGGGCUAGUUACUUCUCUAAGAUUGAUCUUCGAUUGGGUUAUCACCAAUUGAGGGUGAAGGGUGAUGAUAUUUUGAUAAUGGCUUUUAGAACCCGGUAUGGUCAUUAUGACUCUAUGGUAAAGUCGUUUGGGUUGACUAAUGCUCCGGCAGCUUAUAUGAAAAUUUGAUGAAUAGGGUGUUUAGACAAUACCUUGAUAUGUUUGUAAUAGUGCUCAAUCAAAAGAUUUGAAUCUUAGACAAGGAAUGAGGCUGGGGUUAUUGAGAGAUCUAGACACAAGUUUUCUUUAUCACCUCGAUGGAGGUAAUGGGAUAGUGGAUGCUCUUAGUCGAUUGUCUAUGGGUAGUGUGGCUCAUAUAAGUGAAGAAAAGAAAGAGUUGAUUCGACAUGUUCAUAGGUUGACCCGAUUAGAUGUUCAAUUAGUGGAUUCCACCAAGGGUGGUGUUAUGGUUUACAAUGGGUUCGAAUCGUCUUUGAUGGCGAAUGUGAAAGUUAAGCAAGGGGUUGAUUCAAUUUUGGUUGACUUGAAAGAAACGGUGCUUAAGAAAUCUGAUGAGGCUUUCGCCCAAGGGGGAGAUGGUGUGCUUAGAUAGCAAGGUUGUUGAGUGUCCCUAGUGUUUAUGAUUUGGGUUUUACUUGAAAAUUUCACCUAUAAAGGGUGUGAUGAGGUUUGGCAAGGAAAGGGAAGUUUAGUCCCCAUUUUGUAGGCCCAUAUAAGAUUUUGAGACGUAUUGGUAAGGUUGAUUAUGACUUAGAUUUGCCAAGUGAGUUGGCAUUGGUGCAUCCGGUUUUUCCAUGUCUCUAUGCUUAAGAAGUAUGUUGGAGAUCCGACAUCCAUGGUUCCCAUAGAAGGGUUGGGAGUUGAUGGAAGUCUUUCUUAUAAAGAAGUUUCGGUAGAGAUUUUAGACUGGCAAGUUAAGAGGUUGAGAAACAAGGAAGUUGCUCCCAUGUAAGUGUUAUGAAGUAAUAAUUUAGUUGAGGGUGCUACUUGGGAGGGAAGCCAAUAUGAUGUCCCGAUAUCCUCAUCUUUUUCCUUCUACUCCUACUCUUGCUUGAGAUAAUAAGCUCCUCUUGGUUUGUCCUAUGUUUUGGAGUCAUGUGUUUUAUUUGUUUCCAUGAUUGCCUUAUGUUAUGCAUGUUCAUGAAAAACUUGUGUUUUGAAAGAAAAUGAGCUUACAUGAUUGAUUUUCCUCAUGUUGUUAUGCAUUGAGUAUGAGUUGCCUAUAGACUUCAUGAGACGAAUUGAUGAACAUGUUUUAGCUAUGCUUUUGAGUAUGAUUUGCAUAUAGGCUCCAUAUGAUUGUGUCAAGUGUGCUUUUAGCUUGGAGAAGGAAGUUCCUCCUUGAAGAUGAGAAAUUUUGAAAUUUCAUGCUUAUUGGUUUGUUAGGAAUAGUUCCUACUUUCCUUGAGUUGCAUUGAGUAUGUUUAGUUUGGAGUUGAUGUUUCAUCCUUUGUUUUGUGCAUUUUGAUGAGUUGCUAGUCUUGAGUCGUUUCCUAUAAGAGAUGUCUAGAAUUCUAUUCGAGGAAGAAUGUUCCCAAGGGGGAGAUAUGUAACACCUCGGAAUCUAGUAGGCUAAGCUAGGGCUAAGAGUAAGGGCAAGGGUCCAAGGGAAGGGUUCCAAACCUAGGAUUUAGCCUUGACACCCUCCAUGAAAGUCCUGAUGAGUCGUGAAGGGGACCACGAGUCGUGAUGGUGCCUGUAGACCUAAGCAGUAGCUAACAAAAGGCUUCUCACCUCCCACGAGAGACAAGACUGCUUAUGAUGGUCACCACGGAUCAUGGUAUCACUCGUGGUGGUGAGGCAGUAGCUUCUCCAAGGCUGCCUAAAUUAGAACCCUCCUCACGAGCCACUUGACUGCUCGUGAAGGACACUACGGGCCGUGGGAGAGGUCGUGGUCUUAAGUUAGGUUGAGUGGGUUAAGGGGUGGCAAGCUAGGCUACUGAUCAAGGGCCACGGGAAUCACAACGACCUGUGAAUCCCUGACCGUGAAGACGUCCGUGAGGGGUUUUCAUUAGACUUAGAGUUUAGGGUCAACUUCAAACGAUCAUAUCUUUUAGCACAAAACAAAUUAGGUGGCCCAUGACCUAUCAAAUUAAAGGUCUUUCAGUCCUCUUUCCAACGCCAUCGAGUUUCCCUAAUUCUCAUCUUGGAGUAAAAAGUUAUCCCCAAAAUAGUGAAGCAUUGUCAGGCUGAAAUUCUUCACGACCCGUUUGACUGGCCAUGGUGAUCAUGAAGACCCGUGGUGAGCUUCCAGUGAGCCAAUUCAACUGCUUUUAAGUCAGGGGUUAUUGGGUCUUUUCCUAGUUGUUUUAACUCAAAGCUAUGUCAUUUUCCCCAAGCCUAGGACCCCUAUAUAAGUCAUUUUAACCCCAAAACUCACUCAUUCAAGUCAUUAUUUUCAAAACCCAAAAUAAAUCCCCAAAAUUUCUUCCUCUCAAAUAUUUAUCUCUCUAGAAGAAGAAGAAAGAGGAGGAGGAGGAGGAGGAGAAGGAGGAGAUUCAAGCUAGGGUUCAAGAAGCAAGCUUUUGUACAUAAAUUUCUUUGGGCCUUGAUAAUAAAGUAUGGUAGCUUUCAUCCAUGGAGUUCCCUCAAAAUCUCCAAUUUCAAAAAGGUAGAAAUUCCCAAAUUUUAGGGUUUUCUUCAAAAUCCAUAGGUUCCUUUCAAACUUGAUUUUAAUGAUUGAAUUGUGUUAUAUUAAGCAUGAAUUGAUUAACUUUUAUGGUUUUUAUGAUGUUCCCCCAUGAACCCAUGUAAUUCCCAUAUUUCACAAUUGUGAUCUUAUGAUGUGGGUCUUUGUUGAUGAAAGAGAAAUUUUAUGAAUUAAUGCAUGAGGUGAUAGAAUCACAUGAAAUUAAGAUGAAAUUCCUAUCUAAUGUUUGAAUUCUAUAUGUGGUGAUUGAAAGUAGGUUUUGAACCUUGAAAGAAUAAAGUAUGAGAUUAUGCAUGUUUUUAUGAAAUCUAUGUAAAUACUUCAAGGACAAUUUUAGAGUAAAGAGUCAAUGAUUAUGAAAUUAUUGUUGUAUUGAUUGAAAGGACAUUCUCAUAAACACAUAUGAACAUUAAUGUGAAAGGCUUUCUCACAUAGUAAGGAUUCUAAGGUUGAAAGGCUUUUCUCACCUAAUUGAAUCUAAGAGUAAAAGUGAUCAUGGAUGGUGAAAGGUUUUCUCACGCAUGGUCUAAGGAGCUAUCCUAAUGAACUAACUUGGAUUAGUUGUCAAGGACAUCCUUCCAUGAGAUAUGAGUUAAGUCAAGACUUUAUAAGUAUUCCGUGGGAUUUAUGUUUAGCACCGAGUGUAUAUUGAAUAUGAGAUGGAGGCUCACACGAAGUUGAGUCCGGGCUUCCAAAAUGGAAACUCUCAAGUAGUUGAGUCCGAGUUUCCAAUGUAAGUCUCAUGAGAUGGAAUUCUUCACGAAGUUGAGUCUGGGUUUCUAGUAGCAAUCUUUGUAUCCCAUAAACUACAUGCCCCCAUAGGAUAUUUAGCUAGUGGAUCCACCUAAGCUAAGAGUUACCAGUUCUACCUUAGGCAAGUAAACCAACCUUUUUUCGGUGUGGGAGUCACCGGGUGAUCAUGUGAUAGCUCACAUGGUCUCAAUGUCGGUUAAGGAUUAUCUCCCACAACAAGAUUAAUAAUAAACUAAGACAUGCUUAAAGAAGUAUCUCGUAUUGUUCAAGGGUUUUAAAGAUGAUGCUUGUUUGCAUUGAAUAUGAUGUUAUAACUUAUGUUUUCCAACUAUCUCUCAUAUGAUGUUUUAACUUGUUAAAUUGCAUGUUAUGAAAUAAAAUGUCCCUUUUAGCAUGUUUUAAAUGUUUUUAUACAAAGCUAUCAUACUUAGUGCAUUUUUGUACUAAUGAAUACUCUUGCCUACAGUUUUUCAAAUGUAGGGUCCGACAGUUAGGGUCAUUAGAUUCGUGGCUAAGUGUUGAUCUAGAGAUUUUCCUUUUCAUUGUAUUUCCUUUUUUGGACAUGAUGUAUGGGCUAGGCCCAAUUUCAUUCAAUUGUAAUAGAUGGCUAUGAUGAGACAAAGUGUCUAGACUUUCGCUUUUCUAUAAAACUGUUUUGGACUUGAAAUGUUGUUUUACUCUAAUUGUUCUAUUUCUUAUGUUAUGAGGAGUAAGUGGAUUGUAUGGAGUCCUUCGGGGUUCUAUAUGCCAUGUUACAUCUUGGGCGUACCCCUGGGUCGUGACAACUAUCCUCCUCCCGAAUAUGAACAUACAAAAAUAAUCAAACAACAACCUAAACAACCCCCGCAAGCUCGAAAGGUACAAACAGCAAACAAGACCACCUACUCAAGCCCUCAUAAGCCCAAAAUGUGCCAAUUAAAUUUAUAUACCCCUAUCAGUAGCACCUUAGCCGCGUAGGAAGUCACAUUGCCUACUUCGUCAACAGUAUAGACCCCUAUGAAGCAUACAGACCCCUUAGAAAUCAAUAUAUCCCCGUAGGCAGCACAUAGCGUUCUUAGGACACAAUAUAAAUUUGUAGGCAAUUCAUAGCCCUCUUAGGCAUCAAUAUAGUCUCGUAGGCAGCACAUAGCCAUCUUAGGCAACAACAUAGCCCUGUAGGUAGUUCAUAGACCUAUUAGGCAUGACUAUAGCUCCCUAGGCAGCACAUAACCCUCAUGGUCAACAACAUAGCCCCGUAGGUAAAGAUCAACAUACCUGCAACUAACCAUAAUAUCCCAAGGGAAAUAAUAAACAACUCAAUGGACUAAAGGCGAUCAAUUUAGCUAUAAGCAAUUUAUACAAAUAAUCUCUAAGUUGUACCCAACAUAGAACCGCUACUAAUAGAAUAAGAGUACCGAAAAGGGGGGAUAUAAUAACUCAAGUAACCAACCACCAACAAUUAUAAAUACGAGUACAUCAAUGAUAACAAUCCUAUUGUAUAGCUUCUAAUCUUUAAGGAAAAUUUCAAUAUAAGAGAAUAAUCUUAACAUACCUUUUAACUGAAGCCUCAAAGGUGUAUGUAUGAAACUUGACCAACCUAUCAUAACACAACAAUUGCUAGAAUCAACAAGGUGCGAGAACGAGCCAUAGACAAUUAAUAAGGUGUUAAUGUCACACUCGUGACUGGCCAACUCCAAAGCAUAAAAUGAGUCCAAUAAAAAUAAUAAAUGGAAGCUAUAUUCUAACCACAUCUCAAAGGAGUGACGAGCUCCAGGGGCACUAUUUCUAGGUGUACUUCACGUCAUUUGAUCCAACAACCUUCUUACAUGACUCUGAUAAGAAUCAAACCAACCCCAGUACCUCCAGCUCCUUAACACCAUCAAUAUACACCAAUAAUAACCCAACUCAUUAUGACAAAGCGUCUUUCCAGAGAAACAAUAUCCAAAACACCAUUUCAUGGCUCAAAAAUUUAUAAAACGCUACUACAACAUAAGAUUAUGAAUGAGGGUCCAAGGGGAAUGAUUUCCUUGACAAAACCUUUGAGACACCAAGCUAAACAAUCUGCCUCUUUAAAAUAACAACAGCCGAAGCCAAAGUCAACGAGAAACUACCACAAGUCAACGACAUUUACAACUUUUCAUAACUAUAAGCUUAGAAUCUCAAUUCAACAAAUAGAUAAGUGUAAGAGAUACCUACCUUGACAAUAUAUAUCCAUAGAUCCUGCCAAAUACUCAAUAAACAUCUGCUAUCUCGCUGCCACAACACCCAUGAAGAUACUCCAUGAAAUCGAUGGGGAAAACUAUACCAAAAUGAUGAGCUUGCUAUAUAGAGCAACUUCUGUUAAACUUCCGAGUUGAAAGAAUCAAUAUCCAUGGAGAAUUUAGGGACUUUUAUUCUGA